UAUUUUUUUCUUUUUCUUUCCCUUUCUCUUUUUGUUUUGUUAUGUUUUUAACUUGUAGUGCUGGGGAUCAAACCCUGGACAUUGCCCAUGCUAAAUAAGCACUCUACCACUGAGAUAUAUCACCAGCCUUCCUGUCUACUUUUUAAUAACAAUAUCUAGUAUGGCACACAUUCCUGAAUUAUAUUUCUUUUUCAAAAUUUCUUUACUAUUUUCCUGUGUUAUGUUUUCAUAUGAACAUUGGAAAUAGCUUAUUAAGAGUUCAUCAGAAAUAUCAUUGGAAUUGCAACUGGAAUGGAAUUUAUAGAUUAAUUUUGAGAAAUCUACCAUUUUUACAAUCUUCCCAUACAUCAAUGUGGUAUGUCUCUCCUUUUAUUCUAGACUUUAUAUUUGCAUACGUAUGUAUGUAUUUGUCUUCCAAUUUGUUACAUUCAAGUGUUUCUCAGUUUCUGAAAGAAAUACAUGUGUAUAAACUAAGAUUUGGGAAAAGUACAGAUGUUAUCUGCAUAGAGUAGGGCCCAUCAAUAUUGAAAGUCAUUCAAAAUGUGGUUUGAAUUUGAUGUUACCAUUUCUUCCAGAAGUCCCUUGGAGCCUGAAUUAUUUCUAUGUUCUGUAUUACUGAUUUGGGGGCUGCUUUAUAUUUACUCAUCAGGAAUAAAUUGGAAGACUUCGUGUGGGGCAGAAAAAAGGAAUGAAGCAAUAGGGAUGACUACAGCUUCUUUUGACCUCAGCUUCACCAAACAUCAUUCAACAAAGGGAUCGGUCUCUGGAGACCCUCUCCAGUUGCAGGUUGUUUCCAAUUGCAUGCUUAGCCCUCUCUCUCUUCCUUUCUCAUGGUUAUGUAUAUAUGAACUAUUACUUCUCAUAAAGAAGUUCCCUGUGUUCACACACACACACACAAAUCCCCAAAAUAUGGUAGGAUAUUGCUCUGUUAGGUCCCCAACAGUCAAAAUUUCCUGGGUCACCAGUGCUGAAAUAUAGGCCACCAGAGAUGCAUUUGAUUUUCAUCAACAAAGGACUCCAGCUUCAUGGAAGGAGGGCACUCUACUGAUUUGAAAGUAACCACAAUCCCGGUGCUCAUAUUCUUUUUUCUUAAGUCCUAUAACUAAGACAUUUCUUACUGAAAGCAAAUAAAAUCCGUAACUUUCUCCUUCUGCUGGCA
rnacentral:lncRNA from 1 species